UACAGAGGUCCCAAGCGUUACUGAGAAUCACUGGGUUUAAAGGGUGCGUAGGCGGGUCUUUAAGUCAGGGGUGAAAUCCUGGAGCUCAACUCCAGAACUGCCUUUGAUACUGAAGAUCUUGAGUUCGGGAGAGGUGAGUGGAACUGCGAGUGUAGAGGUGAAAUUCGUAGAUAUUCGCAAGAACACCAGUGGCGAAGGCGGCUCACUGGCCCGAUACUGACGCUGAGGCACGAAAGCGUGGGGAGCAAACAGG
rnacentral:rRNA from 1 species